CGUGUUUACUGUACCUUAGUUGCUUCGGCGGGCCCGCCAUUCAUGGCCGCCGGGGGCUCUCAGCCCCGGGCCCGCGCCCGCCGGAGACACCACGAACUCUGUCUGAUCUAGUGAAGUCUGAGUUGAUUGUAUCGCAAUCAGUUAAAACUUUCAACAAUGGAUCUCUUGGUUCCGGCAUCGAUGAAGAACGCAGCGAAAUGCGAUAACUAGUGUGAAUUGCAGAAUUCCGUGAAUCAUCGAGUCUUUGAACGCACAUUGCGCCCCCUGGUAUUCCGGGGGGCAUGCCUGUCCGAGCGUCAUUGCUGCCCAUCAAGCACGGCUUGUGUGUUGGGUCGUCGUCCCCUCUCCGGGGGGGACGGGCCCCAAAGGCAGCGGCGGCACCGCGUCCGAUCCUCGAGCGUAUGGGGCUUUGUCACCCGCUCUGUAGGCCCGGCCGGCGCUUGCCGAACGCAAAUCAAUCUUUUUCCAGGUUGACCUCGGAUCAGGUAGGGAUACCCGCUGAACUUAAGCAUAUCA
rnacentral:rRNA from 1 species